rnacentral:snoRNA from 1 species
GGGAUGUGAGGAGUGGUCUGUUUUUCUCGCGAUUUUAUGCGGGACGGGUGCCACGGCCCAAAUGCCUAGUUUACGACUAAUGUGGCACUCCAAUUAUAACCAAUCUGAUCCC